AUUGAACGCUGGCGGCAGGCCUAACACAUGCAAGUCGAGCGAGCGGCGGACGGGUGAGUAAUGUCUGGGAAACUGCCUGAUGGAGGGGGAUAACUACUGGAAACGGUAGCUAAUACCGCAUACCAUCAUAUUUGCCCAGAUGGGAUUAGCUCGUAGGUGGGGUAAUGGCUCACCUCGGCGACGAUCCCUAGCUGGUCUGAGAGGAUGACCAGACACACUGGAACUGAGACACGGUCCAGACGCCUACGGGAUGCAGCAGUGGGGAAUAUUGCACAAUAGGCGCAAGCCUGAUACAGCCAUGCCGCGUGUGUGAAGAAUGCCUUCGGGUUGUAAAGCACUUUCAGCGGGGAGGCGUUACUCGCAGAAGAAGCACCGGCUAACUCUGUGCCAGCCGCCGAGGUAAUAC
rnacentral:rRNA from 1 species